ACAUCCUGUUCUUGAACGGAUGGUGAUCAAAGCUGGGGACCGCAAGGCCUGGCACUCGAGGAGGGGCCCGCGUCCGAUUAGCUAGUUGGUGAGGUAACGGCUCACCAAGGCUCCGAUCGGUAGCCGGCCUGAGAGGGCGGACGGCCACACUGGGACUGAGACACGGCCCAGACUCCUACGGGAGGCAGCAGUGGGGAAUUGUUCGCAAUGGGCGCAAGCCUGACGACGCAACGCCGCGUGGAGGAUGAAGAUCUUCGGGUCGUAAACUCCUGUCGAAUGGGACGAAUGGCCCGGCCGCGAAUAGCGGCCGGGAAUGACGGUACCGUGAGAGGAAGCCCCGGCUAACUCCGUGCCAGCAGCCGCGGUAAUACGGGGGGGGCAAGCGUUGUUCGGAAUUACUGGGCGUAAAGGGCUCGUA
rnacentral:rRNA from 1 species